UGGUGGGUAGUUUGACUGGGGCGGUCUCCUCCUAAAGAGUAACGGAGGAGCACGAAGGUUGGCUAAUCCUGGUCGGACAUCAGGAGGUUAGUGCAAUGGCAUAAGCCAGCUUGACUGCGAGCGUGACGGCGCGAGCAGGUGCGAAAGCAGGUCAUAGUGAUCCGGUGGUUCUGAAUGGAAGGGCCAUCGCUCAACGGAUAAAAGGUACUCCGGGGAUAACAGGCUGAUACCGCCCAAGAGUUCAUAUCGACGGCGGUGUUUGGCACCUCGAUGUCGGCUCAUCACAUCCUGGGGCUGAAGUAGGUCCCAAGGGUAUGGCUGUUCGCCAUUUAAAGUGGUACGCGAGCUGGGUUUAGAACGUCGUGAGACAGUUCGGUCCCUAUCUGCCGUGGGCGCUGGAGAACUGAGGGGGGCUGCUCCUAGUACGAGAGGACCGGAGUGGACGCAUCACUGGUGUUCGGGUUGUCAUGCCAAUGGCACUGCCCGGUAGCUAAAUGCGGAAGAGAUAAGUGCUGAAAGCAUCUAAGCACGAAACUUGCCCCGAGAUGAGUUCUCCCUGACUCCUUGAGAGUCCUGAAGGAACGUUGAAGACGACGACGUUGAUAGGCCGGGUG
rnacentral:rRNA from 1 species